rnacentral:rRNA from 1 species
CCUACGGGUGGCAGCAGUGGGGAAUAUUGCACAAUGGGGGAAACCCUGAUGCAGCGACGCCGCGUGAGUGAAGAAGUACUUCGGUAUGUAAAGCUCUAUCAGCAGGGAAGAAAAUGACGGUACCUGACUAAGAAGCCCCGGCUAACUACGUUCCAGCAGCCGCGGUAAUACGUAGGGGGCAAGCGUUAUCCGGAUUUACUGGGUGUAAGGGGUGCGUAGCCGGGAAUGCAAGUCAGAUGUGAAAGCCCGGGGCCCAACCCCGGGACUGCAUUGGAAACUGUCUUUCUAGAGUGCCGGAGAGGCAAGGGGAAUUCCUGGUGUAGCGGUGAAAUGCGUAGAUAUCAGGAGGAACACCAGUGGCGAAGGCGGCUUGCUGGACGAUAACUGACGUUGAGGCUCGAAAGCGUGGGGAGCAAACAGGAUUAGAUACCCCAGUAGUC